UUUUGUCUGAUCAGCAAAGUUAAGCAAUGCUGAGCCUGGUCAGUACUUAGAUGGGUAACCACUUGAGAAUACCAAGUGCUGUAAG